UCAGAAAAAUCACUCAAGAAAGUCAACGUAGUUGUCUUGCACCAUUAAUGUUGCUUCAUUAUGUGGCACAAUUCACAAUGCAAAUUCAAAGUGAACAAAAAUAAUAUAACACACUGGCUGAGUGCCUUUUUGUGCUAUAUUUUGAGUUAAUAAAGCAUUUUAAUUUCUUUCGUUUGCCCUUUCUUGUUCUUGUGGUGGCGGUGGUGGUGGUGUUGAUGAUAGUGCAACAACUUUUUGAGGUCAUUUAUUGGCCUUCAUAUUGGUUUAGCACAUGAUUGAUGCUACAAAGUAGGGCUAAAAGUGGAUCGAAUAUAGAUCGUUUGUCAGUAUUAUCCAUAUCCGUUUGUUUAUAUUUGGAGAAUAUGGAUGUGGAUAUGGAUACUUGAUGACCCAAAG
rnacentral:lncRNA from 1 species